CAGCAGCGCGGUAAUACGGAGGGCGCGAGCGUUACCCGGAUUUACUGGGCGUAAAGGGCGUGUAGGCGGCCUGGGGCGUCCCAUGUGAAAGGCCACGGCUCAACCGUGGAGGAGCGUGGGAUACGCUCAGGCUAGAGGGUGGGAGAGGGUGGUGGAAUUCCCGGAGUAGCGGUGAAAUGCGCAGAUACCGGGAGGAACGCCGAUGGCGAAGGCAGCCACCUGGUCCACUUCUGACGCUGAGGCGCGAAAGCGUGGGGAGCAAACCGGAUUAGAUACCCCAGUAGUCCCUGUCUCUUAUACA
rnacentral:rRNA from 1 species